UGAUCAUGCCGCAACGUAAGGUGUUAAGUCAAACUUUGACGUAAAGGUUUGGUACACCGGUUGGGUGGUAGGUUCGGUACGGAGCAUAAAAUCCGAUAGAUCAUGAUGUACAUCCGUCACGAAGUCAUUGCCAGUUACUUUCCGGCUGGAAGUAGAAAUGAACAACAAUUCUUCCCCACCGGGGCAAUAAUGUCGGGCAGCCUUUCUUGGCAACAGGGGUGCGUACUUGCACUACUUGACCACCACGACCAUCACCGCACGCCCUGGAACACCCACCCCGCCGACCAGCGCAGCUGCGCAGCACGCCGGCCCCGCCUGGUAGACCCGAGGGCCCGCAGGCCCUCUUGCCCGCCGGCGUGCGGACAGAGCAUGUCGGCGGGGGCGGUUCCAGGGACGGUGCCGGAGGAGGAGGAGGAGGAGGACGCGGAGGCCGAGGUGGGGGAGGGGCGACCCGGCCGGCCCGCAGUCACCCGUUUCAAGGACGGGGACCGCUAUGACAUGUGCACCAUCUGCCUGGACCACUUCCGCGCUGGCGAGCCCGUGAGCGUCCUGCCCUGUGCGCACGCUUUCCACAACGACUGCAUCGGCGCGUGGCUCAGCGGCUACCGGCGCGCCUGCCCGCUGUGCCAGCUGUGGGUGCGCCCCGCGCGCAGCCCCCUGCAGCUGUGGCGCCGGGCGCAGCGGCGGCGGCGGCGCAGGGCGGCCCGCAGGGAGGCGGAGAGGGCGGCGCGCCGGGAGGACCGCAGGCGACGGCGGGGGCGCGAGCAGGAGGACGAGGAUGUCGGCCCCGGGGAGCGCGACCAACGCCGUCGGCGUGGCCACGAGCACUACCGCCGCGAGCUGGAGCACGAGGUGCAUCACCACCACCGCGGCCGACGCGAUCGCCUCCAGCACAACCACCACCACCACCGCCACCAGCAGCACGAUCAGCCGUGGGUCCGCCUCAUGACCAUAGUGAAUCGCUCUUCCUCGUCGGAACGCGAACUUUGACUUCAAUCCACAAAAUACACGCAUUUUCGCUCAAAACGUCUGCACAAGGGACUGUGACUUUGAGCUGCG